GGAAGGUAGUGUAGUUAACACCUGCACUAUUUGACGUUACCUACAGAAGAAGCACCGGCUAACUCCGUGCCAGCAGCCGCGGUAAUACGGAGGGUGCGAGCGUUAAUCGGAAUUACUGGGCGUAAAGCGCAUGCAGGCGGCCUGUUAAGUCAGAUGUGAAAGACCCGGGGCGUUAACCUCGGAAUUGCAUUUGAAACUGGCAGGCUAGAGUCUUGUAGGACGGGGGGUAGGAAUUUCAGGUGUAGCGGUGAAAUGCGUAGAGAUCUGAAGGAAUACCAGUGGCGAAGGCGGCCCCCCUGGACAAAGACUGACGCUCAGAUGCGAAAGCGUGGGGAGCAAACAGGAUUAGAUACCCCUGGUAG
rnacentral:rRNA from 1 species